CGCCCCCUGAUUUUCCGUGUCUUUUUUUUUGUUGUUCGCGACAGAUGGGGGUGAUGGCUGGAAAGGACAUUUUCCCAUCGUUAAAGGACAUGACAUUUCUUCGUGACCGUGGUGUUGGAUGGAAAGGACAUGUUGCUGUCAUUAAAGGGUUACAGAAGACUCCUGUUGUACUAUGAAUCACCACUCAUCCCUGUUAGAUCUUGAUGUGUUGGCUCUCUAUAUAAAGGGUCCGGUUAGCCCUGACCAUUAUCCGUUUCCAAUUCACCAUCGCAAAGUCGUUUGCCCGCUCCAUCGAAGCUCCGGACGUUUUCACUCCAGGGAAAGAUCAACCGUCCUGCAUGUAAAUCCUGGGUAUGCCCACAUCAUUAAUUAAUAAGCUGUGUAGAAGCUGUUUAGCCAAAAGUAAAGGCCUUUCAUAAAGAGGCUGUCAUGAUUGCAUGUGCCACAUAUUUAGCACGUAUUGCUUG